GGUAACGUGGCCGAGUGGUUAAGGCGGCAGCUUUAGGCGCUGUUUCUUCGGAGCGUAGGUUCGAAUCCUGCCGUUAUCA
rnacentral:tRNA from 1 species